rnacentral:tRNA from 1 species
GGAGAGAUGGCAGAGUGGUCGAAUGCACCGGUCUUGAAAACCGGCAGGGGUUUAUAGCCCCUCUAGGGUUCAGUUCAAAUCCCUAUCUCUCCACCA